UACGUAUGGUGCAAGCGUUAUCCGGAUUUACUGGGUGUAAAGGGAGCGCAGGCGGCACGGCAAGCCUGAUGUGAAAGCCCGCGGCCCAACCGCGGGACUGCAUUGGGAACUACCGGGCUGGAGUGCCGGAGAGGUAGGCGGAAUUCCUAGUGUAGCGGUGAAAUGCGUAGAUAUUAGGAGGAACACCAGUGGCGAAGGCGGCUUGCUGGACAGAGACUGACGUUGAGGCUCGAAAGCGUGGGGAGCAAACAGG
rnacentral:rRNA from 1 species